UACAGAGGGUGGCAAGCGUUGUUCGGAAUUACUGGGCGUAAAGGGCGCGUAGGCGGCCAUCUAAGUCAGACGUGAAAUCCCCCGGCUUAACCUGGGAACUGCGUCUGAUACUGGACGGCUCGAGUUUGGGAGAGGGAUGCAGAAUUCCAGGUGUAGCGGUGAAAUGCGUAGAUAUCUGGAGGAAUACCGGUGGCGAAGGCGGCAUCCUGGACUAAUACUGACGCUGAGGCGCGAAAGCUAGGGGAGCAAACGGGG
rnacentral:rRNA from 1 species